rnacentral:tRNA from 1 species
GCCUCCGUAGCUCAGGGGAUAGAGCGCCGCACUCCUAACGCGGGCGUCGCAGGUUCGAAUCCUGCCGGGGGCACCA